CCUACGGGUGGCAGCAGUGGGGGAUAUUGCACAAUGGGGGGAACCCUGAUGCAGCGACGCCGCGUGGGUGAAGAAGCGCCUCGGCGCGUAAAGCCCUGUCAGCAGGGAAGAAAAUGACGGUACCUGAAGAAGAAGCCCCGGCUAACUACGUGCCAGCUGCCGCGGCAACAUGGAGGGGGCAAGCGUUAUCCGGAUUUACUGGGUGUAAAGGGGGCGCAGACGGCGGUGCAAGCCAGGAGUGAAAGCCCGGGGCCCAACCCCGGGACUGCUGUUGAAACUGCAUGGCUGGAGUGCAGGAGGGGCAGGCGGAAUUCGUGGUGUAGCGGUGAAAUGCGUAGAUAUCAGGAAGAACACCGAUGGCGAAGGCGGCCUGCUGGACUGCAACUGACGUUGAGGCACGAAAGCGUGGGGAGCGAACAGGAUUAGAUACCCCUGUAGUC
rnacentral:rRNA from 1 species